rnacentral:rRNA from 1 species
GACGUAGGGCGCGAGCGUUGUCCGGAUUUAUUGGGCGUAAAGAGCUCGUAGGCGGCUUGUCGCGUCGACUGUGAAAUCCCGCGGCUCAACUGCGGGUCUGCAGUCGAUACGGGCAGGCUAGAGUUCGGUAGGGGAGACUGGAAUUCCUGGUGUAGCGGUGAAAUGCGUAGAUAUCUGGAGGAACACCGGUGGCGAAGGCGACAUCCUGGACCGGUAUUGACGCUGAGGCGCGAAAGCCAGGGGAGCAAACGGG